rnacentral:lncRNA from 1 species
AAAAAACAAGUGUAAGAAUUGUUGACUCGAACAAACCAUCGAAGGGGAGGUUAUGUUUUGUAUGGGAUGAGUGUGAGUUUUGGGCAUGGUGCUUGCCUUCUACAACAAGCUCAAGUGGAAUAGUCAGUGGCCCCAAUGAAGACAAUGACAGAAUGAGGACAUUGGUGAGUGGAACAAAAUGCAACUGUUCGUGUGAGCAAAAAGACAUACCAAGUAGGAUGAUAGUUGUUGAAAGUAAUAUUAAGAUGAUAAUUGUUGUUGGAAUUGUGUUGUAUUUCGGAAUAGUCAUGAUGUAUUUUAUUAGUAACAAAUGAAUGUACAAACUAAAUGAAUGUAUUUUAGGAGACCAAUGGUAGCAAGUUUUUGUCUGCGUUAGACUUUAUGUUAUGGAUUACUGGAAUUAGUUCUUUAUCUAUAAAAAGGAUGGAUUGCAAAUUUUGUUGUAUAUAUCUUCUUUGAACAUAACUUGUUGGAUUUAUGUUAGAUUUCAUUCAACAUUAAAUGUAGCACAUACUCAACUGGACAGAUACAACAUUAUACCAACUAUAAAACAUUGUCCAUUCCAAAAUGUAAAACAUACUCAACUGUAAAAUAUUGCAAGCUGAUUAAUUAUAAGACAUACUUUUCUAAUUAUAUUGCAACUGUUAAACAUCUGUACAUGCUUUGCCCAUUCCAAAAUUACAGUAACUACUAUUAAUUAUACCAACUAUAAAACAUUGUCCAAAAACUAUAGUAGACAAAGUCUACACAAUCAACAUAGUCAAAAACAGUUACAAGACAUCAUUCAUGAUCCAAAAACUACCCAUUCAAUAUACUAAAGCCUUAAUCCCCCCAGUCCUCCCUUCUUUGGUGAUUUGCCUAUCUUGCUCUUUAUGGCUCCCUUCUUUAUGUUCUUCCUCGUAGGCUGUGAGCUUGAAGCAGGCUGAUUACUCCACAUAGUAGACAAACUUGGUGUGGGAUUAGGUUGAGAGCUUGAAGUUGUUGUAGCAUUAGCAGUAGCAGUCCCUUGACUUGACUGUGUUCUAGUCUGCAUCUUUGGUGGCCUGGGAUUUGGCUGAAAAGGUAAUCAUUCCAGUUAUCACACACAACCAUAUUGCAGUUAUCCAAAUGCAUUCCAAUUAAACCCAAUAAUCUAUUAUAUUGUACCUUAACAGGAAUCUGCUGCACAUUAGUUGGAGUCCCUCCAGUGGACUGAUGUGGUCUGGUAGGAAUGUCUGACUGUGCAGUCCAUUCAGUUGACUGUGCAGUUGACUGAUGUUGUUUGUUAGUUGUCUGAAAAUGAAAACAUGUUAAACUAUUAUAAACCAUGUGUUAAAAAAUACAAUUGAUAGUAUGAAAUGAAAACAUAAAUGCUUAUACCUUGUUCAUUCUUGAUUUAGGAUGAAAAGGCAAUGUACAUGCCCUGCUGUUAUGCCCUAGUGUUAAACACCUUGCACAUGUGACAGUGCCACCUUUUUUUGUUGCUUUAUGUUGGUUUUUUGGUUUAUCUGGAACCUUUCUUCUGAGUUUCCUUGGUCUGCCAGUGGGCUUAUGAUAGGUUAGAGGUUGAAUCUUUGCAAAAUUGGAGUGAACCCAUUCAUGGUGACUUGGCACAGGCACCUCCUCACUCUCUGCAUUAACUAAGAAAUCAAUCAUAUCAAUAACAUCUUUGUCAUUUUGCAUCACUAAUGCCCCACCCUCCCAAAUUUCAUAUCCCGGUACAAGGUAAUAAAUAUUCAAAUUUGAAACUGGGCAUAAAGUAGAGUAGUAUUCAUGUAUACUAAGCAAAGAAAGAUAAUCCAACCCAACAUUCUCUACUAUUUGUUCACUACCCCCAACAUAUUUAUGUACCGGAUCUUGAACAAACUUCCCACCAUAAUAAAAAAUAAUUGCCAACAAAACUUUCUCCGAUCUCUCACAGAGGAUCUAAGUUCAGUGAUUCAGAGCCUGGAUCAUCAUCACCUCUGCAGAGGUCCAAGAUAAGUACUGCUUCACUUGGAUCCACUGAUUCUAAGAAAACUUCUAAGAUCACCAAAUCAAGUGAUGACAGCCAUUUGACAGGGAAUAGGUUAACUAGAUCAUUUUCAUCAUUGUCAGAGACAAAGAAGGAAUCUAGUGGUGUUACUCCUGAUUCAAAGGCUUCCAUGGCACGGAUUAGAAGAUUGUCAGAGCCCAAAACAAUCAGCAGUCAUCCUGCUUCUUCGGUGAAGAUACGUAGUGCGGAAUCAGUGUCAAAACUGAAGGUAUCUGAUGGGUCCGAGGGAAAGAAAAUGUCUGCUAUUAUGAACCUUGAUCUCAGUACAGCUGCAAUCCUUCCCGAGUUGAAGAUCAAAACAUCUAAAGGAACUAUAAAUGUAAAGAAGAAGAAAUUAGCAGCAAAGGAGAUGACACCAAAUGUCAACGGGGGAAAGUCUUCUGUAACUCCUAAAAGUUCUGAAAUGAAUACCACUGAUGGCAGAAUAUCACAUAACGAUUUCGAUGACAGUCCAGUAAUUGAAAAGACUGUUGUAAUGCUUGAAUGUCAGAAGAACUAUAUUCCAGUUGUACAAGCUUCAGAAGAAAAGAUGGGAAUAAGAAAGAAACAUGAUGAUACUAAUGACGUUGAUGAUAAACUUGUGGCAGUACCCAAAUAUGCAGCCAUCCAUGCACCGCCUUCACCCAUUGAUAGAGUUGAUAAAGGACCCACUCCAGUCCAACCACAGGAGAAAUCCAGUUCUUAUGAGGUAGGAUUGUUAAUCUGAAGUUUCUGAAUUGAUCAGAAUUAUCUAUCAUGAUUUAAAUAUUCUAAAGAUGGAAUUGUACCUUAGUAUCAUCGACACAGUCAUAUGAUUUCAAAAUGAACAGUGGAAAUAUCAUAAUAUUAAGAAUAGACGAAAUGCUAUCUUAAGUGAUGCAGUUUGCAUGCCAAAACAAAUGAUGCCAAACAAGUGUACUGAAUGCUUUUACAGUUGAACAUUUCUUGCCAAGCCAAUUUUAUUUUGGCGUUACCCCUAAUCAAAUCAGAUGCUGCAGUUCCAGUUAAGUGUGGCAUAAGUCCUUCUAGAAAUGCCACGUUUGUUACAAAACUUACAAAUAAAAUAAAAUAAAUUAACUUCAGUAUAGUGUGUAAUAUAGUGUCUAUUCAGUGGUAAUCAAUCCUAGCAACUGUUGUUUGUGGUAAGAUUCUAUUUUGGUCAGUUAAGUGGAUGAAUGCUUCAAUAUAAAAGCUAGGUUAGUGUGGCAGCUGCUACUUGGAUCAUGCCAACUCAGUUGAAGUGUUGAACUAUUUCCCACUUUGCCUAAACACUGGCUGGAAAUUUUAGGGAAAUAGAACCUUAUUGAUAAUCAAAGAUAUGUAUAUUGUUUGUAUAUAUAACUGCUUUGGUGGCACUCAGAAACUUGGUCUUAAAUUUUGGGUCUUCCGCACUUGCUCCCACUCCCAUCCUGCUUUAUGCUUGUGGUCUUGCUCUCAUUCAUAAUCUGAGGUCCUCAAUAAGUUCAAUUAUUUGCUGAUAUGAUUUCUUUAACAUGUAAUACCCUGGUGAUCAGGUGAUGGCAAACUGUGUGGAGAAGGAAUCUGCUGACUUUUCAAGCAUUAGUACUUUUGAUAAAACUUAUCAAGCCCCCUUUGCUCGGGUCUCCUCAUUAGAGGACCCAUGCACUAGAAAUUCAGAUUAUGGAAAAGCGCAAGCAAGUUCAUUGGGAUCAGCGAGCUUCGAAACUGCUAAAACACAUGUUUCUGGUUAUGAUAACCUGAAAUUGGAGCAGAUUCCUGAAGCCUUUGAGAAGCCUCAGGUGAAGGAAACAUCAAAGGGGUUAAGCCGGUUCUUAAAAUUGGGAAGGAAAAAUCAUAGCUCAACUGCUGGAGAGCAAACUGUUGAAUCAGAUCGUGCAAAUGUUAAUGGAUUUGAGCAGGAUGAUAGUGCAACUAAUGCUGCCUCUUCCAUUGAAGGUAAUAUGCAUUUUACUAGAUUUUAGUAUUUUACAGGAAUUAUGAAUUUUUGAGAUACACAAUUUAAUGCAAGAAUUGAAGCAACCAUAUGAUUAUUUAAAAAAAAAUUGAAGACAAUGAUCUAUGAGUUUUUCGUGCCACCUAAAAACAGAGGACAACUAUAUUGGCAUAUUGGGGAUGGAGGGAUUAGUAUACAAGCUUUUAAAGUUGAGUUUUUCUCUUCUUUUAGAAAUUAAAACUCAUUCUAGGAACACUAUAUGUGAGCUAGGUUUUAAAGAAGUGGAAUUUAGUACAUGUGUUGAAUUAACUACAUAUCAAAACUAAAUAAAAACAUGAUUGAAAUAAUAAAAACUAAAAGAAACUGGUAGAUAAUAAUGCUUGAAAAGCUGAUAUCUGGUUUAAUUGAUAGUUUUUGGUGGUAUUACAAGUCAUUUCAGUCAAAACUAGUAGAGCUGACAUUUGUAUUCCCGUCUCAUCCUUAGUGUAUACUCUGAAGAAUCUAAUCUCCCAAGAUGAAACACCAACUGCUGGCGAUGUUUUACAGAAUGUAAGUUCUCACUACACUAUCGAAAUAUUUCUGACUUAAUUCUUCCUUCAAACAGAUGGGGAUAUAGCAUAAAUUGUUUUCUUUGUUUGGCUGCAGCUUCAAGUCACUUCUCUUUGUUGUCACACUUCCGUAGCAAGACAAGUGAGAAGAAGCUAAUAACAUGAAGAUUUAGUUAGGUCAGGCUGUGGUACUUUUUAAUCUUUUAUCCCUGUGGGGUUUUCAUUGCGAUAAUUGUCAAUUUAGUCUUUUGCCUAUCAUCCAUUGUGCAAGUAUAGUUUCCCAUGCCAGCUAAAUAUUGUUAUGGGAAUAGAUUAUUGUCCAUUCAAAUCCAUGUCUAUACUAGGAUGAUGAAUUGGCAUAUGUAUAUAUCUUUGACUCAACGGUUUCUUGUUUCUAUGUCUAGUGAAGCAAAGUGUUUCUCAUCAUUCAUUGGAUUUAAUAAACUUGGGUAUAGCAUUUGCUUUGUCUAUUGGGAUUUUAAAUCUCAACUCCUUGUAUUCUUCUUUAGCCAGCCACUUCAAAGUCGUAUCUUGUAACUGAAGAAUGUAAGGAUGAAUCCAUUCCAACCUUGAUGACUGUCUGACUGAUAUGGCUUUGUCAGCAGUAUACUCACUGUUGACUCCAUCAACCUGAGAAGAUGAUAGUGUCUGAGACUGACCAGACUGAAAUGUCAUAAUAAUAGGAAUUGUCCAUGAUAGUGUGUUCAUGCUUAAAGGAGGAAUAACUAAUUUAGAAUUAAUAUGAAGCUUGACAUAAUCUUAUUUGACAAGGAGGAUAAAUAGUUUGCCUCACCCACUCACCCUUAUAAGAUGCAAUGUGGAGCAAUUCUAUCAGUUUCACAUUGUAUUGGCACUAUUCAAUGUAGACGACAUUACAUUAGCUCUUUCUUUUAUCCAACAAAGUUGCAUAAUGUCAUUUCCUUUUCUUUUUUUUGGUCCGUCACUUCUAUCAUAAGUCGGAUAAACAUUAGAUCACUCAAAUCGAAUGAUUAAGCAGGAAAUCUUGCUUCUGCUCAUUCUCACUAAAGCCUCCUUUGCUAAACACUCGGCUGCUUCUUGUGGGUCAUCCAGGUGCCUGAUAAGAUUUACAGCCUCUUGAUGCUUCAUCACCUACAGAAAACACAGGUAAUGGAGCUUUAGAGUGCUUAGAUCCUGCUGCAUUGCCUGAUAUGCGUACUUUAGGCAUACGUAUAGCACCUAAAACAUAGGUGAGACAAGUUUUAGAGUACAGAGAAUUUCGUAGUUUGAAACUGAACCUCCAGAUGGAGGUAUAUUUACAUUGCUUGCAGCUUCGGAUAAUACAUACCUGGGAAGAAUUUGUGUGACCAGUGUCGCUUGGUUGACUGCUGAUGCUUUCCACUAAUUUGGCGAGCCUCGCCAUCUCUGCACACAAUCGCUCUAUACUCACCCAUGUUAGCUAUCACAAGCUUCUCUCCAUUGAUGACAAUGGCAGAUGCUGAACCCACUUUCCACCUCUCUUCUGGCUUAGUUGUUUCUUUGAUCUUUUCUCUUGCUCCAAGGUAUGCCUUUUUCAUUGUCUCUUUGCUCUUCCUCCUCAUCUGGGACUGCAAGAAAUGGGGAAAACUUAAUUAGUUAACAUUAGUUAACUAAUUUUAUUGAUUUUUAUUUAUUUUACACUAUAUUUUAUCAUUGUUCCUACUAUUAAUUUUACCUGUUUAGGCUUUUUAUCGAAUAGAUUUGAUUGCAUGUACUUGGUAACUCCAUCUCUAAUUUGAGCAUCAAAAAUGCCAAAGAACCACAAUUCAUGUUCUUCAGUUUGUUCUCUUUGUACCACAACCGACUCUGAAUCCGAGUCAAACUCAUUUGAUUCACCUGUCAAUAAUCUAUCCUCUACCACAUGAAAUCCAUGGGAGAUGGGCAUCAUCCAUGAAGGUUUCUUUCCCUUGCCACUCUCUCUCUUACUACUUCCAGUGAUAAACCUUCUUAGCUGGAAUACCUGAAUUGAGUGAUCAAACACCAAAUUUUAAUAUUAUAUAUAUAUACUGUCCGGAUCUUAAGCUUAUCUCAUAUCUAACAUACUUUGCAUAUCCCCUUUUAGCGACAGCGGACCGGGUGACGAUUCGGUCCGUCGCUAUAUAUAGUCUUUUAGCUUUUAGCGACGGACAGAACAUAUAGCUACGGAUCGCCCGGUCUGUCACUAAAGGGGGUAUGCAAAGUACGUUAGAUAAGGGGUAACUUAAGAUCCGGACCGAUUAUAUAUAUAUAUAUAUAUAUAUAUAUAUAUAUAUAUAUAUAUAUAUAUACGGUCUGUCUCUAAAGCGAACCUUAAAGAACGAAACAAAGACGAACCGUCGUCUUUGGUGUCUAUGGCGAUGGUUCGAUCCGUCGCCAUAGCCAUGUAGUCUUUGGCGUCGGGUCGAACCGUCGCCAAAGACACCAAAGACGACGGUUCGUCUUUGGUUCGCUUUUUAAGGUUCACUUUAGAGCCUCUCCGUGUGUAUAUAUAUAUAUAUAUAUAUAUAUACAACACUGAUCAGGUCCGGACUCCCGGACCUGAUCAAAAACGGACCUAAUUUUUAUUUUUUUUGCUUUUUUUUUUAAAAUAACUAAAAAAAAAUAUUUNNNNNNNNNNNNNNNNNNNNNNNNNNNNNNNNNNNNNNNNNNNNNNNNNNNNNNNNNNNNNNNNNNNNNNNNNNNNNNNNNNNNNNNNNNNNNNNNNNNNAUAUAUAUAUAUAUAUAUAUAUAUAUAUAUAUAUAUAUAUACAUGCCGGAUCAGGUCCGGACUCUCGGACCUAACCAAAAUCCGGACCUUUUUUUUUGUUUUUUUUAAAACACCUAAAAAAUAAAUAAAUUAUGGAACUUGAAUUUUUACAUAAUACAGUAUUUUAGGUGUGUUUUGGAUAUAUAUAACAAAACAUGCCCAAUUUUUUUAGGUGUUUUAAAAAAAAAGCAAAAAAAAAAAAAGGACCGAAUUUUAAACCUGUCCGGGAGACCGGACAGGAUCCGGUUCCUAUAUAUAUAUAUAUAUAUAUAUAUAUAACUCUUGUAUGUAGGGGUGUAAACGGUAUUAAACAGAUACAGAUACAGGUAUAUCCGUAUCCGUAUCCAGAAAACCAAUUCGCUAUCCGUAUCCGUAUCCGGUAUCUUGCAGAUUUUAAAAAUAUUAUCCGUAUCCGGUAUUCGAAAAAAUAUUCGAAUACGGAUAAUAUUCGUUACCGUUUAUUUUAUCCGAAUAGACAAAUUAUUCGGAUAUCCGAAUAUCCGAAUUCGUUUAUCAGUAACCUAAUAUAAAAUUCAUUCAAAAUAUUUACGAAAAAAAAAAUUAAAGUUUAAAUCAUACAUAUUAAUUAAACACAAUUUAAUAUUUAAACCAUACAUAUUAAUUAAACAUCCUAAUCAUAAGGGGAGGAAAAUGUCAAAGACAUCAUCAUAAAUGAAUGCUAGUGAUUAAUUAAUGAAUGUAAAUUAUUAAUACACACACACACACACAUACACACACACAUAUAUAUAUAUAUAUAUAAGUUAUUAACUAAUUAAUGUAAGUUAUUAAUAUAUUUAUAUAUAUAUAUAUUAAUAACUUAUAUAAAUGAAUGUAAAUUAUUAAUAUAUACGUGUAUAUAUAUAAAUAUAUAUUAAUAGCUUAUAUAAAUGAAUGUAAGUGAUUAAUUAAUGAAUGUAAGUUAUUAAAUAUGUGUGUGUGUAUAUUGUAUAUAUAUAUAUAUAUAUAAGUUAUUAAUUAAUUAAUGCAAAUUAUUAAUAUAUAUAUAUAUAAUAACUUAUAUAUAUAUAAAUGUAUAUGUAAGUUAUUAAUUAAUGAAUCUAAGUUAUGAUUUAUUAAUAUAUAUAUAUAUAUA